rnacentral:rRNA from 1 species
CCUACGGGUGGCAGCAGUGAGGAAUAUUGGUCAAUGGGCGAGAGCCUGAACCAGCCAAGUCGCGUGAGGGAGUACUGCCCUAUGGGUUGUAAACCUCUUUUGUCGGGGAGCAAAAGCCGGACGUGUCCGGCUGUGAGAGUACCCGAAGAAAAAGCAUCGGCUAACUCCGUGCCAGCAGCCGCGGUAAUACGGAGGAUGCGAGCGUUAUCCGGAUUUAUUGGGUUUAAAGGGUGCGCAGGCGGAUUUUUAAGUAAGCGGUAAAAUCGUGGGGCUCAACCCCAUCCAGCCGUUGAAACUGGGGAUCUAGAGUGUGCGAGAGGUAUGCGGAAUGCGUGGUGUAGCGGUGAAAUGCAUAGAUAUCACGCAGAACCCCGAUUGCGAAGGCAGCAUACCGGUGCACAACUGACGCUCAGGCACGAAAGCGUGGGUAUCGAACAGGAUUAGAUACCCCAGUAGUC